ACUAUAAAUAUUGGUACCUACAUGGGGAGAUGUGAGAGACAGUUACAAGGGUUAGAAAUGAGCAAGACAUGGACAUAGAUAUAAUGAUAGAUAUGGUUAUGGAUGCUACUGAUCUGGAAUUUAAUUAGGAUGUAGAGGAUGAUUCAGAAGCUACCAGUGGUGAUUUCUAUCACAUGCAGAGAGAUGCUAAUGAACCACUA
rnacentral:lncRNA from 1 species